rnacentral:rRNA from 1 species
GACGAACGCUGGCGGCGUGCUUAACACAUGCAAGUCGAACGGAAAGGCCUCUUUCGGGGGGUACUCGAGUGGCGAACGGGUGAGUAACACGUGAGUAACCUGCCCCUGACUUUGGGAUAACUUCAGGAAACUGGGGCUAAUACCGGAUAGGAGCUCCUGCUGCAUGGUGGGGGUUGGAAAGUUUCGGCGGUUGGGGAUGGACUCGCGGCUUAUCAGCUUGUUGGUGGGGUAGUGGCUUACCAAGGCUUUGACGGGUAGCCGGCCUGAGAGGGUGACCGGCCACAUUGGGACUGGGAUACGGCCCAGACUCCUACGGGAGGCAGCAGUGGGGAAUAUUGCACAAUGGGUGGAAGCCUGAUGCAGCAACGCCGUGUGCGGGAUGACGGCCUUCGGGUUGUAAACCGCUUUCGCUCAUGACGAAGCUUUGUGUGACGGUAGUGGGUAAAGAAGCACCGGCUAACUACGUG